rnacentral:rRNA from 1 species
AGUUCGAUCAUGGCUCAGAUUGAACGCUGGCGGAUGCUUUACAUGCAAGUCGAUAAUGGCAGCACGGACUUCGGUCUGGUGGCGAGUGGCGAACGGGUGAGUAAUGUAUCGGAACGUGCCUAGUAGCGGGGGAUAACUACGCGAAAGCAGCUAAUACCGCAUACGCCCUUCGGGGGAAAGCGGGGACCUUCGGGCCUCGGGAAUGAUGAGCGGGCCGAUAUCGGAUUAGCUAGUUGGUGGGGUAACGGCUCACCAAGGCGACGAUCCGUAGCUGGUUUGAGAGGACGACCAGCCACACUGGGACUGAGACACGGCCCAGAUCCUACGGAGGCAGCAGUGGGGAAUUUUGGACAAUGGGGGGAAACCCUGAUCCAGCCAUCCCGCGUGUGCGAUGAAGGCCUUCGGGUUGUAAAGCACUUUUGGCAGGAAGAAACGGCACGGGAUAAUACCCCCGUGCAACUGACGGUACCCGUAGAAUAAGCACCGGCUAACUACGUGCCAGCAGCCGCGGUAAUACGUAGGGUGUCGUUAAUCGGAAUUACUGGGCGUAAAGCGUGCGCAGGUGGCAGUCUGGAAAGAAAGAUGUGAAAUCCCAGAGCUUAACUUUGGAACUGCAUUUUUAACUACCGAGCUAGAGUAAACAGAGGGAGGCGGAAUUCCGCGUGUAGCAGUGAAAUGCGUAGAUAUGCGGAGGAACACCGAUGGCGAAGGCAGCCUCCUGGGAUAACACUGACGCUCAUGCACGAAAGCGUGGGGAGCAAACAGGAUUAGAUACCCUGGUAGUCCACGCCCUAAACGAUGUCAACUAGCUGUUGGGGCCUUCGCCUUUGUAGCGCAGCUAACGCGUGAAGUUGACCGCCUGGGGAGUACGGUCGCAAGAUUAAAACUCAAAGGAAUUGACGGGGACCCGCACAAGCGGUGGAUGAUGUGGAUUAAUUCGAUGCAACGCGAAAAACCUUACCUACCCUUGACAUGUCUGGAAUCCCGAAGAGAUUUGGGAGUGCUCGCAAGAGAACCGGAACACAGGUGCUGCAUGGCUGUCGUCAGCUCGCAGUCGUGAGAUGUUGGGUUAAGUCCCGCAACGAGCGCAACCCUUGUCAUUAGUUGCUACGAAAGGGCACUCUAUCGAGACUGCCGGUGACAAACCGGAGGAAGGUGGGGAUGACGUCAAGUCCUCAUGGCCCUUAUGGGUAGUCACAUCGUCAAGGCUACUGGUCGGGACAGAGGGUCGCAACCCGUGAGGGAGCCAAUCCCAGAAACCCGAUCGGGUCCGGAUCGCAGUCUGCAACUCGACUGCGUGAAGUCGGAAUCGCUAUAAUCGCGGAUCAGCAUGUCGCGGUGAAUACGUUCCCGGGUCUUGUACACCGCCCGUCACACCAUGGGAGUGGGUUUUACCAGAAGUAGUUAGCCUAACCGUAAGGAGGGCGAUUACCACGGUAGGAUUCAUGACUGGGGUGAAGUCGUAACAAGGU